rnacentral:rRNA from 1 species
GUCCUAUGUUGCCAGCAUUUAGUUGGGGACGUCAUGGGAGACUGCCGGCGUCAAGCCGGAGGAAGGUGGGGAGUGACGUCAAGUCAUCAUGCCCCUUAUGUCCUGGGCUGCACACGUGCUACAAUGGCCGGUACAAUGGGCUGCGAUGCCGCGAGGCGGAGCCAAUCCCACAAAGCCGAUCGUAGUCCGGAUUGUUCUCUGCAACUCGAGAGCAUGAAGUCGGAAUCGCUAGUAAUCGCAGGUCAGCAUACUGCGGUGAAUACGUUCCCGGGUCUU